rnacentral:rRNA from 1 species
UACGUAGGGUGCGAGCGUUAAUCGGAAUUACUGGGCGUAAAGCGUGCGCAGGCGGUUCGACAAGUCCGAUGUGAAAGCCCCGGGCUCAACCUGGGAAUGGCAUUGGAAACUGGCGAGCUUGAGUGUGGCAGAGGGGGGUGGAAUUCCGCGUGUAGCAGUGAAAUGCGUAGAGAUGCGGAGGAACACCGAUGGCGAAGGCAGCCCCUGGGCUGACACUGACGCUCAGGCACGAAAGCGUGGGGAGCAAACAGG